rnacentral:sRNA from 1 species
AGAUUCGAAGCUAGGGUAGGGCCCGCGGGCUGAGGCAGCGGCCGUGGCGGCGACGCUGGGCGUGAGGUGGCGGCGGCCGCGCCCCGGUUGGGUCUCCACGGCUCUCGGGGGCGUCAUGGACGAGGCCGUGGGCGACCUGAAGCAGGCGCUUCCCUGUGUGGCCGAGUCGCCGACCGUCCACGUGGAGGUGCAUCAGCGCGGCAGCAGCACUGCAAAGAAAGAAGACAUAACCCUGAGUGUUAGAAAGCUACUCAACAGACAUAAUAUUGUGUUUGGGGAUUACACAUGGACUGAGUUUGAUGAACCUUUUUUGACCAGAAAUGUGCAGUCUGUGUCUAUUGUUGACACAGAAUUAAAGGUUAAAGACUCACAGCCCAUCGAUUUGAGUGCAUGCACUGUUGCACUUCACAUCUUCCAGCUGAAUGAAGAUGGCCCCAGCAGUGAAAAUCUGGAGGAAGAGACAGAAAACAUAAUUGCAGCAAAUCACUGGGUUCUACCUGCAGCUGAAUUCCAUGGGCUUUGGGACAGCUUGGUGUAUGAUGUGGAAGUCAAAUCCCACCUCCUCGAUUAUGUGAUGACAACUUUACUGUUUUCAGACAAGAACGUCAACAGCAACCUCAUCACCUGGAACCGGGUGGUGCUGCUCCACGGUCCUCCUGGCACUGGAAAGACAUCCCUGUGUAAAGCGUUAGCCCAGAAAUUGACGAUUAGACUUUCGAGCAGGUACCGAUAUGGCCAAUUAAUUGAAAUAAACAGCCACAGCCUCUUUUCUAAGUGGUUUUCGGAAAGUGGCAAGCUGGUAACCAAGAUGUUUCAGAAGAUUCAGGAUUUGAUUGAUGAUAAAGACGCUCUGGUGUUCGUGCUGAUUGAUGAGGUGGAGAGUCUCACAGCCGCCCGAAACGCCUGCAGGGCGGGCACCGAGCCAUCAGAUGCCAUCCGCGUGGUCAAUGCUGUCUUGACCCAAAUCGAUCAGAUUAAAAGGUAAGCAGGACAUGCAGCAGUUUUCCCUGAGAAGUGAUGAGAAGUUUGUCCCAAAGAAAUGCGUGAUACUUGUACAACUCUAGAUCUUAGUGCCCAGCUCUUUUACCUAAAAGUGCAUUGGCAUUGAGUAUUGACCCCUUUUCCACAUUGGAAGCAGCAUAUCAUAAAUGCUUCUUAAAGAAAUUGUUUUUAGUUUAUUAAAAAUGUAAGAGAAGGCCGGGCACAGUGGCUCACACCUGUAAUCCCAGCACUUUGGGAGGCCAAGGCAGGCAGAUCAUGAGGUCAGGAGAUUGAGACCAUCCUGGCUAACAUGGUGAAACCCUGUCUCUACUAAAAAUACAAAAAAUUAGCUGGGCAUGGUGGCAGGCGCUUGUAGUCCCAGCUACUCAGGAGGCUGAGGCAGGAGAAUGGCGUGAACCCAGGAGGCGGAACUUGCAGUGAGCCGAGAUCGCACCACUGCCCUCCAGCCU